rnacentral:lncRNA from 1 species
GUGGCACCAAGGCCUUGCGCGGCCCAACGCACAAGGGGGGGACGGCGCGGCCCUCGCCCUGGGCCCCGGGUGCCACCAGGUUUUCCCUUGGUCGGGAUUUCUUUUGUGGGCCUAGGCAGGGCAGGCGCCCCAUGCUGUCUCCGCACUGACCUAGGCACCCACCCCACAUGAGGGCACCCACCCACAUGAGGCGUCGGGAGGUGUGGGGCCCGGGAGAACAUUGCUCUGCCUGGUUUCCUAGGCGGAGGCAGGUGUGUUGUCGGCAAAGACCCUCACUCAGGCCAAGUGUGUGAUGUCUCUUCUUCUUCCGCAGACGCCGAGCCCGGCACCCGGGAACCUGUUCCGGACGUGCCGCUCCCAACCAUGACUCCCAGCACCGAGGCUGACCACGACCACGACCACGACCACGACCACGACCACGACGCCGAGCCCGGCACCCGGGAACCUGUUCCGGACGUGCCGCUCCCAACCAUGACUCCCAGCACCGAGGCUGACCACGACCACGACCACGACCACGACCACGACCACGACGCCGAGCCCGGCACCCGGGAACCUGUUCCGGACGUGCCGCUCCCAACCAUGACUCCCAGCACCGAGGCUGACCACGACCAUGACCACGACCACGACCACGACCACGACCACGACCACGACCACGGUAGGGGCCCGUGUGCCUUGUGUCCUCUGCCCCUGGGAGCCCGCUGGGCUGCCGGGGCUCCUUGAGCGAGAAAUGACAUUUCUAUUGGAUCCGGGAACGUAGAGGCGGUG